rnacentral:rRNA from 1 species
GUUAAGUUAAUAAGGGCGCACGGUGGAUGCCUUGGCACUAGGAGCCGAAGAAGGACGUGACAAACGACGAUAUGCCUUGGGUAGCUGUAAGUAAGCGAUGAUCCAGGGAUUUCCGAAUGGGGGAACCCAACAGGUAAUGCCUGUUACCCAUAUCUGUUAAGGAUAUGAGGAGGAAGACGCAGUGAACUGAAACAUCUAAGUAGCUGCAGGAAGAGAAAGCAAAAGCGAUUGCCUUAGUAGCGGCGAGCGAAACGGCAGGAGGGCAAACCGAAGAGUUUACUCUUCGGGGUUGUAGGACUGCGAUGUGGACUCAAAGACUAUAGAAGAAUGAUUUGGGAAGAUCAGCCAAAGAGAGUGAUAGCCUCGUAUUUAAAAUAGUCUUUGUACCUAGCAGUAUCCUGAGUACGGCGAGACACGUGAAAUCUCGUCGGAAUCUGGGAGGACCAUCUCCCAACCCUAAAUACUCCCUAGUGACCGAUAGUGAACCAGUACCGUGAGGGAAAGGUGAAAAGCACCCCGGGAGGGGAGUGAAAUAGAACCUGAAACCGUGUGCCUACAACAAGUUCGAGCCCGUUAAUGGGUGAGAGCGUGCCUUUUGUAGAAUGAACCGGCGAGUUACGAUAUGAUGCGAGGUUAAGUUGAAGAGACGGAGCCGUAGGGAAACCGAGUCUGAAUAGGGCGCCUUAGUAUUAUGUCGUAGACCCGAAACCAUGUGACCUACCCAUGAGCAGGUUGAAGGUGCGGUAAGACGCACUGGAGGACCGAACCAGGGCACGUUGAAAAGUGCUUGGAUGACUUGUGGGUAGCGGAGAAAUUCCAAACGAACUUGGAGAUAGCUGGUUCUCUCCGAAAUAGCUUUAGGGCUAGCGUCGACAUAGAGAUUCUUGGAGGUAGAGCACUGUUUGGGUGAGGGGUCCAUCCCGGAUUACCAAUCUCAGAUAAACUCCGAAUGCCAAUGAAUUAUGGUCGGCAGUCAGACUGCGAGUGCUAAGAUCCGUAGUCGAAAGGGAAACAGCCCAGACCACCAGCUAAGGUCCCAAAAUAAUUGUUAAGUGGAAAAGGAUGUGGGGUUGCACAGACAACUAGGAUGUUAGCUUAGAAGCAGCUAUUCAUUCAAAGAGUGCGUAAUAGCUCACUAGUCGAGUGACCCUGCGCCGAAAAUGUACCGGGGCUAAAACAAUUUACCGAAGCUGUGGAUACCUUUAUAGGUAUGGUAGGAGAGCGUUCUAUGUGUGAAGAAGGUAUACCGUGAGGAGUGCUGGAACGCAUAGAAGUGAGAAUGCCGGUAUGAGUAGCGAAAGACAGGUGAGAAUCCUGUCCACCGUAAGACUAAGGUUUCCAGGGGAAGGCUCGUCCGCCCUGGGUUAGUCGGGACCUAAGGAGAGACCGAAAGGUGUAUCCGAUGGACAACAGGUUGAUAUUCCUGUACUAGAGUAUGUAGUGAUGGAGGGACGCAGUAGGCUAACUAAAGCAGACGAUUGGAAGAGUCUGUCUAAGCAGUGAGGUGUGAAUUGAGUUAAAUGCUUAGUUCUAUAACAUUGAGCUGUGAUGGGGAGCGAAGUUUAGUAGCGAAGUUAGUGACGUCACACUGCCAAGAAAAGCUUCUAGCGUUUAACAUACUCUACCCGUACCGCAAACCGACACAGGUAGUCGAGGCGAGUAGCCUCAGGUGAGCGAGAGAACUCUCGUUAAGGAACUCGGCAAAAUGACCCCGUAACUUCGGGAGAAGGGGUGCUGACUUUACGUCAGCCGCAGUGAAUAGGCCCAAGCAACUGUUUAUCAAAAACACAGCUCUCUGCUAAAUCGUAAGAUGAUGUAUAGGGGGUGACGCCUGCCCGGUGCUGGAAGGUUAAGAGGAGUGCUUAGCGCAAGCGAAGGUAUGAAUUGAAGCCCCAGUAAACGGCGGCCGUAACUAUAACGGUCCUAAGGUAGCGAAAUUCCUUGUCGGGUAAGUUCCGACCCGCACGAAAGGCGUAAUGAUUUGGGCACUGUCUCAACGAGAGACUCGGUGAAAUUUUAGUACCUGUGAAGAUGCAGGUUACCCGCGACAGGACGGAAAGACCCCAUGGAGCUUUACUGCAGUUUGAUAUUGAGUGUCUGUACCACAUGUACAGGAUAGGUAGGAGUCUAUGAGAUCGGGACGCCAGUUUCGAAGGAGACGAUGUUGGGAUACUACCCUUGUGUUAUGGCCACUCUAACCCGGAUAGGUGAUCCCUAUCGGAGACAGUGUCUGACGGGCAGUUUGACUGGGGCGGUCGCCUCCUAAAAGGUAACGGAGGCGCCCAAAGGUUCCCUCAGAAUGGUUGGAAAUCAUUCGCAGAGUGUAAAGGUAUAAGGGAGCUUGACUGCGAGAGCUACAACUCGAGCAGGGACGAAAGUCGGGCUUAGUGAUCCGGUGGUUCCGUAUGGAAGGGCCAUCGCUCAACGGAUAAAAGCUACCCUGGGGAUAACAGGCUUAUCUCCCCCAAGAGUUCACAUCGACGGGGAGGUUUGGCACCUCGAUGUCGGCUCGUCGCAUCCUGGGGCUGUAGUCGGUCCCAAGGGUUGGGCUGUUCGCCCAUUAAAGCGGCACGCGAGCUGGGUUCAGAACGUCGUGAGACAGUUCGGUCCCUAUCCGUCGCGGGCGUAGGAAAUUUGAGAGGAUCUGCUCCUAGUACGAGAGGACCAGAGUGGACUUACCGCUGGUGUACCAGUUGUCUUGCCAAAGGCAUCGCUGGGUAGCUAUGUAGGGAAGGGAUAAACGCUGAAAGCAUCUAAGUGUGAAACCCACCUCAAGAUGAGAUUUCCCAUGAUUUUAUAUCAGUAAGAGCCCUGAGAGAUGAUCAGGUAGAUAGGUUAGAAGUGGAAGUGUGGCGACACAUGUAGCGGACUAAUACUAAUAGCUCGAGGACUUA